CUCUCUCCAAUGGUAAGUUCCUUCAACAAUCUGUUUCUUCAUCUUAAGCAACAGGGUAAGAAACCCCAUUACAGAUGGCCUAAGUCUCAAGAUUGAUGAACUUUUUCAAUUUUCUUAAUCAGCCAAGUCAAAAAGCUCUCCCUUAUUGAGCCGUUCAAGCUUCAUGCUCUUGGCUUGUAAGUUGUUACCCUCUACUAUGUAUGUACAAUGGAGUGCACUUU
rnacentral:lncRNA from 1 species